AUGUCUGGACUUGUGGAUAUAUGGACAAACGAGAUGUCCAAACUGAGGGAAAGGGAAAAGCUUCAAACUCAGAGUAUUCAUUCUACUGCCUCCACUCAACAUGAAACUAGCCAACAAAACAACAACACUUCAACUGGGAUAUUGGCUUCAGCCAUCCAGUUUUUCAAGCCUAGGUUGCUGUUUUCAGAGGCUUCACUUUCCAUGCUUGUUGAGUGUUUUAACCCUUGA